UCUCCACUGCCAAAAGUUGAGAAUAGUACCAAAAAUCCAUACCGUACCACUUCUUGGGACCCUUCCGUUAGGGUACCUGGCACAGUUGUUUGGUACUAAAGGGUGGAGCUAGACUCACUGCAGAACGUUGAUUGGUUGAAAGAGUGUCGUCAUUUGUGCAUGCCGCGAGGGGAAAAAAGACAACACACGAGGCGCCAUUUUUAAACUACAACACCGUCGCAGCAAUGUCGCCGCGCAGCAUUACUUUACCGUGGUCAACCCAGGAGGUGCAGACCUUCUUGGGUAUCAUCGGUGAAGAAAGGGUGCAAAGGGAACUCUAUGGCAUGGUGAGAAACGAAAAUGUUUUUCAGCAUGUUUCAGAGAGGAUGGCUGUCGAGGGUUACCAGCGGACAUCCGAGCAGUGCUGCAUUAAAUGCAAGAAUCUGCGGAGUGACUACCGUAAGGUGAAAGACCACAACAGCCGGAGUGGUGUUCACAGAAAAAUUGGAAGUGGCUAGAUAUGAUGGACUUAAUCUACGGACACAGACCGGCGAGUUUGGGACGAGAAGGAGGCAUCGAUAGGGCCACCUCGUUGCUGGAGUCGACGAUGGAGCCUCCCGUUGAGCAUCCUAGCUGUCGGGAGGAAAUGGAACCCCAAUUUCCACCCUUGAAAGCGCAAGUUCCCCUGCCAGGACUUCAACACCACCAGAAUCUUCUCCAUCAACUGGGAGUGAACCUCGGCGUAUUACAAUUGGCUGAGAUGCAGGAGUGGCUGGAAAAGAUGGAGACCGCUGUGACCGGCGCUUCUAACUUAUGAUGGAGGAUGCCCGUGAGGCAAGGCGGCAUGAGGCUGAUAUAACUCGCCUACAUAUGGAGCAGUCUGCGAACUUUAAUCAGGCCUUCCUCGGAACGCUCACUCAGCUGGUACUGGUGCACCCCAACUCUGUGCUAUGAUCCAGCCACUAGUGCUCUUUUGCACACAGCACUUUAGACUAGUUUACUUUUUUGGACUGGUUUACACUUGUUUACUUUGU